UCUUUGAUGGUCUAACGGUUAUGAUUUCCGCUUGUCAUUAAUUUAAUGCGCGGGAGACCGGGGUUCGACUCCCCGUCAGAGAG
rnacentral:tRNA from 1 species